rnacentral:rRNA from 1 species
AUACGGAGGGGGCUAGCGUUGUUCGGAAUUACUGGGCGUAAAGCGCGCGUAGGCGGAUUGAACAGUCAGGGGUGAAAUCCCGAGGCUUAACCUCGGAACUGCCUUUGAUACUGUCAGUCUUGAGUUCGAGAGAGGUGAGUGGAAUUCCUAGUGUAGAGGUGAAAUUCGUAGAUAUUAGGAAGAACACCAGUGGCGAAGGCGGCUCACUGGCUCGAUACUGACGCUGAGGUGCGAAAGCGUGGGGAGCAAACAGGAUUAGAUACCCGAGUAGUCC